CUUACGAUGCUCCGCUGGUCUCGGCUACUGCGCGGGCGACCCCCGCCGGUGAUGGGGCACGCCAAGCGGAUGCGCUUCGCCGGCGUCGACGACAAUCCCUCCGUCACACACAAGCCGUGGGACACCAGCGAGCCGCUCAUGGCGGACUACGGCUGGGAACGCGGUAAGCUGCCGAAGUUUCGCGCUCGUAGUCCGUUUCACCGCCAGCAGAUCGCGCGCCGCAUGGUGACGGAGCUGAUCCGCAAAGACUACGUCAUCGUAGGCGGCGCGCGCGCUCCGGCAUUGCGCAUCCUGGCCGACCACGUCGUCGAGCUCGCCAAGGCUGGUGACACGGACUCGCGUCAGCAGUUGGCCUACUUUCUACACGACCCCCUCAUGGUCGACAAGGCCUUUGACGAGUAUCCGCGUCGGUUCCGCGACAUGAACGCCAAAUACGCGAUGAUGACGCGCCUGAAGGGGCGCCGACGCAGCGACAACGUUGCCAUGUACUUUGUGGAGUACAAAAAUCGCGACAUGAGCGACAAUCACAAGGGCGAGGACUACACCGCUGGGCCGGAGCGCUUCUUCCUGCCGCCGCGCAUCAUCGAGACCGAAAAAGGUAUUCAGCGCCCGCCGCACAUGCAGAUGGCGUUUGACCGGUGGGCGAGCAAGUUUAAGACGGAGGAGUUUCAUCACUGGUGGCGGCUGCGGCACGCCAAGCUGCGCUACUGGGGUGUCCGCAACGUCCCGCAUCCAAGCGAUGUGGACCCACUCUGGACAGAGAAGGAGGAGGAGGAGUGGCACAACGAGAUGCUGGCCAACACCAGCGACUUCGAGGACUUCGACCUCGACGACGACUCCUACGAGGCCGCCGGCGAGGGAGGCGGCCAGUGUGGCAGCUCAUCUCCGUCAGGGAUCGGACCGGAGCCACAGAAGAAGUUCUGAGCACGCGCCAGGACGUCCGCUUCCUUUUGUUUCGCUCUGUUCUCGCGACACAGGAGGAGCGUCCGUGUGCGUGCAGUCGCCCCACUGACAGUGCUGCAUAUCCAGUUGCCCUCUUGCCACGUUUCUUGGCGCAGGUGCGUGUCUGCAUGCGUGUGUGGUGUGGCGGAUCGUUGUACAUGUCGGUGCGGCUUACCGUAUGCGGCACCGCGGCGCCCCCUCAAGGCUUCACAGGUGUACGCGCACCGUCGCCGACUCGCUCGACUAAUAACCCAACACAAACAGAGGAAGCGCCAAGCAACAGGAGUGAGCCAUGCAGAGCGGAGCGCCAUCACAUCUGCGCGGCAAACGCGAGGGAGGUUGUCACAGUGCGUGGAGGCGCCCACGCCUCCCCACCCUUGCCGGCGAAAACGGCGCGCUUCUCGCAGAGCCUGUCACCCUAGUCGCGCGCAGGCCUAUGAGUAUGUGAACACCGACUGAUGGAUGGGAGCCGCUUCUCAUGCUGUGUGCGGUGCAAGAGUGGUGCCCCUUUCUCUUGUUCUCUCUGUCGCUGGCGCACGCGUAGGCACGCACGUCGGCUUCCGCUUCUACCAUCAGCAGAACUCGCGCAGCGGGUGCGUGCGCAUCAGUGUGACGUGCAAUCGUGGAUGUGCCGUCGAAGUCUCCUCUGCUCUUCUCUCUCCUUUUGUGUCACUCUUCCCGGACUUCACACACACACAAAG
rnacentral:misc_RNA from 1 species